rnacentral:rRNA from 1 species
CUACGGGGGGCUGCAGUGGGGAAUAUUGGACAAUGGGGGGAACCCUGAUGCAGCAACGCCGCGUGGAGGAUGACGCAUUUCGGUGUGUAAACUCCUUUUAUAUGUCAAGAAAAUGACGGUAGCAUAUGAAUAAGCACCGGCUAACUCCGUGCCAGCAGCCGCGGUAAUACGGGAGGGUGCAAGCGUUACUCGGAAUCACUGGGCGUAAAGGACGCGUAGGCGGGUUGGAAAGUCAGGUGUGAAAUCCUACAGCUUAACUGUAGAACGGCACUUGAAACUUCUAAUCCAGAGUAUGGGAGGGGGAGAUGGAAUUAGUGGUGUAGGGGUAAAAUCCGUAGAUAUCACUAGGAAUACCUAAAGCGAAGGCGAUCUCCUGGAACAUUACUGACGCUAAGGCGUGAAAGCGUGGGGAGCAAACAGGAUUAGAUACCCCCGUAGUC